rnacentral:rRNA from 1 species
UUUAUAAAGAGUUUGAUCCUGGCUCAGGACGAACGCUGGCGGCGCGCCUAACACAUGCAAGUCGAACGAGCGAGAGAGAGCUUGCUUUCUCGAGCGAGUGGCGAACGGGUGAGUAACGCGUGAGGAACCUGCCUCAAAGAGGGGGACAACAGUUGGAAACGACUGCUAAUACCGCAUAAGCCCACGG